AAAUUUAUUUUUACAUCUGCCUCACAAAUUCAGAGAGGUUGACUUUGGACAGACAAGAUAGUUACAAAAGGAGGACGCUGCCGCUCUCCCUAGGUGAUUUGGGUUUGAGGUCCCUGGUCUAAAUGCUGAUUCAAAGCCUUCUCUAUAUCAUUGUAAAUAGAAGAAAGUAAGUCUUUUUUAUCUUUAUUUAUUUUAUUGGCUUUAAAGUAUUCCAAAUUAAUGUACUGUAUUCAAUUU